AGCUGCUGAUGGCAGAUCGGAGGUGGGGGUUGCUUUGUGGUGGCCCGGAGCUGGGCACGCUGCCGGCCUACAGGAAUGCCAACUGUGUGCCUGGUGUGGAGGGAGGCAGUGAGAGAACCCUCUUCCUUACUUUCCACACAGACAGGGUGCCCACCACCACUUCCUACCUCCCUGGACAUAGGUUCUAGUCAGUCUGUUGUCACUCUCAUGGGCAGAAGAGACAAUAGGAUUCCCAGAACACCCUGGGAGGAGCCCAAGACCUUCUUGGGUGAGCACCUCAGCAAGUUUCCAGACCUUUCCUGAACAGCCCCAUAACAUUCACACCUGUGGCUUCUCAUUCACUGGAGAACAAGAAUCCCUCGCUUCAUGUGCGGGAGUACUCAAGAUGCAAGAAAUAUAAUGGGAUCAGCUGCUUCAAGUUCCUGCCAUCUUGAUUUCCCCAGAGUAAUGGACUAUACUCUGGAACUGUGAGACAAAUAAAUCCUCUCUAUCUCAA